GCCAAUAAUAGCCCUAAUACUUACCAAAACAAUUAUCCAAAAAUCAACCAAAUAAAACAUUCAUCCCAUCCAAGUAUAGGAGAUAGAACAGAUCACAUAGGAGCAAUAACACUA
rnacentral:rRNA from 1 species